CAGCAACCGCGGUAAUACGGAGGAUCCAAGCGUUAUCCGGAAUCAUUGGGUUUAAAGGGUCCGUAGGCGGUCUUGUAAGUCAGUGGUGAAAGCCCAUCGCUCAACGGUGGAACGGCCAUUGAUACUGCAGGACUUGAAUUAUUGGGAAGUAACUAGAAUAUGUAGUGUAGCGGUGAAAUGCUUAGAGAUUACAUGGAAUACCAAUUGCGAAGGCAGGUUACUACCAAUUGAUUGACGCUGAUGGACGAAAGCGUGGGUAGCGAACAGGAUUAGAUACCCGUGUAGUCCCUGUCUCUUAUAU
rnacentral:rRNA from 1 species